UAUGUCAGUUAUCCCCGAGCAAGAAGAAGAAAUCCAUCUUCCCAAUCCCACCACUUCACCUUCACACCUUCACUUCCCCCAAACCCCAUUUCCACCAACCUCGCCGCCAUGUUACCAGCGGCGACAUCAUGCCGGACCUCCAUGUGCAUCUCCCCCAAUCCCGAACAACAAAACAUCCUCCUACGAAGCGCCAAACCCAAAACCCUCCUCCAAAAACACCCCCUCUACGAGACCACCCACUCCAACAUCUCCUUCCAAUUCAAGGAGAAAAUCCUCUGCCUCGAGAUCAUGGGCGUCGACUCCGGCCGCGCCCUCGCCGUCAACCCCGCCCUCCACACCGCCUCCCUCCACGCCAUCCACGAUAUCGUCACCUUCCUCCAGUCCAAGGGCAUCCACCUCAAGGACCUCGGCAGAAUCUUCGGCAUGUGCCCCACCGUCCUCACCUCCGACAUCAAAUCUGACCUCGUUCCCGUCUUCAAUUUCCUCUCCCACGACCUCCGCGUCUCCGAUCUCAAUUUCAGGAGAGUCAUCAAUAAAUGCCCUAGGCUCCUAAUCUCCAGCGUCAGGGAUCAAUUGAAGCCGGCUCUGUUUUACCUCCACCGGUUAGGGUUCACGGAUCUGCAUGCGCUGGCUUAUCAGGAUCCGAUCCUGCUGGUGUCGAGCGUGGAGAACACGCUGAUCCCCAAGCUGAAUUACUUCGUGAGCUUGGGAUUCUCGAAGAGCGACGCGGUGGAGAUGGUUCUGAGAUGUCCGGCGCUGUUCACCUUCAGCAUUGAGAACAAUUUCAAGCCGAAAUUGGAGUAUUUUACCGGGGAGAUGAAGGGGGAAUUGGGGGAAUUGAAGGAGUUUCCGCAGUAUUUUGCGUUUAGUUUGGAGAAUAGGAUUAAACCGCGGCAUAUGGAGGUUGUACGUUGUGGAGUGAAGGUUGGACUGCCGAUGAUGCUCAAAGCAACUGAUGAAGAAUUCAGGGAACUAUUGAUGAGGAAAUGAGGUGAUAAUAUAUAAAGUAGUAUUGUCUUCUUCUUUCAUCUAUGUAAGUACUUACUAUAUAUUGUUGCCACUGUAAAUCCUUCAUCUGUGUAAAUCCAUUUUUGGCCUAUAGUAUAUCUUUGUGCUUCUAUUAUUCAACGAGCUUCAAUGGCAUUUUCGUUUCUUGAAAGGGUAAAUUAGUUUGUUUUGUUUUUGAAAUUUGUUCUUGCCAGAAGAAAGAUUCAAGAAUCCUAUGAAGGUAACUUGUACUGUGAAGAGAGGUAAGGAUAUGGAUGGGAUAUUGGGACGUGCAUAAAAUCCGUAUUAGCUAGGCGAAAGAAAUGAUUCAAAGGGGGGAUUUUGGGUUGAUGCGUUACAUAUAGAUAUAAAAACGGAUAAGGGGCUGCAUCGAAGAAUGGCGGGAUGAAGAUCAAACACAAGAUGAAUGGCCAGGCUUUUAGUUCACAUUUGACAGUUUUUAUCUGUUCAUACUUUGAUUCUUACUCAAUUUAUCAUGUAAAGAUUGUUGGGAAGAUUGUUAUGUGCAUUCAUAUGAUUGGCCAGGCUAGUAGGAGAGGAAGGAAUAUUAUCAAUAAUAAGGUGAGCAUGCCAUUUCCUCUUCAUCUUCUUUAGAUCCAUUUAGAUCUUUACUUAUCCUUGAAGAGAAAACGGAAAUCUUGUUAUUAUAGUACUAUUGCUUUCUUGAUUUGUAGCUGUAUAAUUUGCUGCUUGAUAUGAUUAAGCUUCAUACAUCUAUCUUUUUAAUCUUCCUAUAAAUAUACUAUACCGUCAUGUUGUGUUGUAAUUACUGUCAUGUUGUGACGUAUCAUGUCGUUAAUCGAGCAGUCUGCAUGAU